CAGAAGGUGUGGCCUCCGGGAAGAAAGGCACCUGUUCACAAAGAAUUUUCAUGCACACAAUAGCUCAUUUAAUCCUCUAAGCAGAGCUCCAGAUGUGAAGGCUUAAGCAUCAAUGUUUCCCUUGUAAACAAGGAGACAAGAACCCAGACCCAGCUGCUCCGGCUCUGCUAUACCAGAUAGCUAAUUAUCUGGUUAAUGGCAGUAAAUUCCUGACUUCCGCAACACUGCAAAUCACUACUGCAGCACUCGUGGACAGUGUGGGUGGACAAGUGGUUUUUCAUUGGAAGAGUCCACAUGUGGGCCUCCUUGUGCUUGUGAAGGGUUAUUCGCCAUUCAAAAUGGACAUUUAUGGCCCUCGACCAGGCAUUUGCUGAGCAGCAUGGCUUCUAGAGAUGGUCCUGUCUUCCUGAGGGGCACCCCUUGACCAGGUCACGGACCUGUCCGCCUGGAUUAGCUCUGCUGAAGGAGACUGACACAUUUUGCCUAGGCAAGUCAUUCUCUGAAGGGACAGCUCCUUGCUUUGAAGCUCCUCAGACCUUCCCCAGCCCCAUUGUGCAGGGUCUCUCAUCUGUGCACACUCUAGAAGUCAUUCAUAAUUAGCUCUGUCUUAUUUCUGAAGCCGACAUCUCUAUGGCUAUCUAUGAUGUAUGGUUAUUGCUGAGAAGAAUGUCAUAUAGUUAAUGGUUUGCUUUCCGGUUCUAGAAGUUCAACAUGAUUACUUAAGGAAAUUGGUCUGCUCUACUUCUGAUCUAUUAUGUAAAAUAAAGGCAACAAUAAUAGAAAGACCAGUGUUUGUGAAGUUAAGUCAUCCAGAGUUAUGUCCUUUUGUAAUGUUUUACAUUUUUGGGUCCCAGGGAACAACAUUUACUGGUAACUCCUAGUAAAUUGCUUUCCAUGCCCUAAGAUGAAACUGUCUGUCACUUUUUAGAUGAUGAAAGACUGAGCAUUGACCCCAUCUCUUGCCACGUCUCCUUCAUUAUCACAGCGAACGGAGUCAACCGUGUGCUGGGGGCAGAGCCGCAGUGGAGAGCAUGCUGUAGCAACCUUCUCUUCCCAGUGACAGCUAGCCUAACUCUGAGCCUUGUAAACCUUCAGCCGUUGCCACAUCAUGACUCCCUGUUCUUUCUUGGAAAGUUCCUGGUUGCAUGGUUCUUUGUCUCUCAGACGUGGGAGCCUGGAAAUUGCAGCAGGGACUGUUUUCAUGGUUCCCAAUUAUGUACUAGGUUUAGUUUCACAAUAAGUAUACCGGCCGCCCUUUGGCUCUGCGUGAGAUACAACAUAUUGUAUACAUGUAAUUUGCAUUGCUUCUGAUUGGCUGCACAAUCAAAUAUUCCAAAACAGGAAGCAUCAUCCCUGGAGGUAUCCCCCUCUUUGCCUUAUGCUCAAAAGAUUGGUGACAAUGUACCUAGUACCAAUCUCCCCCCCAGAAAACUAGGAUCCUUAGAGCUUCCUUCCUCUACUUCUUGACCUUUGACAUAUGUACAUGUGAUUCCCCUAAAAUAUUCUGUGGUUCUCAGUUCCUUGCAUAGGAUGUAGCCGUAACCAUGACCAAGCAACUACUGAAGUAUCAGUAUCAGCUAAAUAGUGGCUUAUGAUUUUUAUAAUUCCCUUC